rnacentral:rRNA from 1 species
UAUUGGACAAUGGGCGCAAGCCUGAUCCAGCAAUGCCGCGUGAGUGAAGAAGGCCUUCGGGUUGUAAAGCUCUUUUGUCAGGGAAGAAACGGUGAGCUCUAAUACGGUUUGCUAAUGACGGUACCUGAAGAAUAAGCACCGGCUAACUACGUGCCAGCAGCCGCGGUAGUACGUAGGGUGCAAGCGUUAAUCGGAAUUACUGGGCGCAAAGCGUGCGCAGGCGGUUAUGUAAGUCAGAUGUGAAAUCCCCGGGCUCAACCUGGGAAUGGCAUUUGAGACUGCAUGGCUAGAGUGUGUCAGAGGGGGGUAGAAUUCCACGUGUAGCAGUGAAAUGCGUAGAGAUGUGGAGGAAUACCGAUGGCGAAGGCAGCCCCCUGGGAUAACACUGACGCUCAUGCACGAA